UCCGAGGUCUGCGACCUUCCACUUGUGCAGUCGGACUUUCUACUUGGUUACUAGCUACGCCCGACAUGCCCGACGGACCUUGAAAGAAAAUAAAAAAAUAACUUUGCAAACAUUUUUACCAAAGUUUCCUAUUAAUAAACGAUCUCAAACUUAUUUUCAUCAUUACUAUUCAUGACAGCGAUGUUCAAUUUGUUCAACCGCUAGCUUUAUACAGAAAAUCGCCGACAAAUAAUGUGUAAAUCCGAGUAAAAUAGUAUCUCACUAUCUGUCAAAAACAACAUUGAAAACAAAAUGG
rnacentral:lncRNA from 1 species